rnacentral:rRNA from 1 species
AACGCGAAGAACCUUACCUGCCCUUGACAUCCGUGGAAUCCUGCAGAGAUGCGGGAGUGCCGCAAGGAACCACGAGACAGGUGCUGCAUGGCUGUCGUCAGCUCGUGUUGUGAGAUGUUGGGUUAAGUCCCGUAACGAGCGCAACCCCUGUUCCCAGUUACCAGCGCGUUAUGGCGGGGACGUCUGGGGAGGACUGCCGGUGAUGAACCGGAGGAAGGCGGGGACGACGUCAAGUCAUCAUGGCCUUUAUGGGCAGGGCUACACACGUGCUACAAUGGGGCGUACAGAGGGUAGCCAACCCGCGAGGGGGAGCCAAUCCCAGAAAGCGUCUCUUAGUCCGGACUGGAGUCUGCAACUCGACUCCACGAAGUCGGAAUCGCUAGUAAUCGCGAAUCAGAAUGUCGCGGUGAAUACGUUCCCGGGCCUUGUACACACCGGUACUA